GAUGAACGCUGGCGGCGUGCUUAACACAUGCAAGUCGAACGGAAAGGCCCAAGCUUGCUUGGGUACUCGAGUGGCGAACGGGUGAGUAACACGUGGGUGAUCUGCCCUGCACUUCGUGAUAAGCCUGGGAAACUGGGUCUAAUACCGGAUAGGACCACUUCUUGGAUGUUGUGGUGGAAAGUUUUUUCGGUGUGGGAUGAGCUCGCGGCCUAUCAGCUUGUUGGUGGGGUAAUGGCCUACCAAGGCGUCGACGGGUAGCCGGCCUGAGAGGGUGUACGGCCACAUUGGGACUGAGAUACGGCCCAGACUCCUACGGGAGGCAGCAGUGGGGAAUAUUGCACAAUGGGCGCAAGCCUGAUGCAGCGACGCCGCGUGGGGGAUGACGGCCUUCGGGUUGUAAACUCCUUUCGCUAGGGACGAAGCGUUUUGUGACGGUACCUGGAGAAGAAGCACCGGCUAACUACGUG
rnacentral:rRNA from 1 species